rnacentral:tRNA from 1 species
GCCAAGUGGAUAAAGGCGGU